GUGCACCAGGCGCGAAAACUUCACAAUGUGCGAAAGCACGAUGAGGGAAUCCCAAGUGCUUGCUCGUAAGAGUAAGCUGUUUCUCUGUCUAAAACGCAGAGAGAGUAAGGGCUGGGUAAGACGGGUGCCAGCCGCCGCGGUAAUACCUGCAGCUCGAGUGGUGGCCGCUAUUAUUGGGCCUAAAACGUCCGUAGCCGGUUUAUUAAAUGCCUGGGUAAAUCGGACCGCUUAACGGUUCGAAUUCCGGGUAGACUGAUAAACUUGAGACCGGGAGAAGCUAGAGGUACUCCUGGGGUAGAGGUGAAAUUCUGUAAUCCUAGGGGGACCACCAGUGGCGAAGGCGUCUAGCUAGAACGGGUCUGACGGUGAGGGACGAAGCCCUGGGGCGCAAACGGGAUUAGAUACCCCUGUAGU
rnacentral:rRNA from 1 species